rnacentral:rRNA from 1 species
AAUGAACGCUGGCGGCGCGCCUAAUACAUGCAAGUCGAGCGGUAAGGCCUCUUCGGGGGUACACGAGCGGCGAACGGGUGAGUAACACGUGGGUGACCUGCCCUCAGCUCUGGGAUAAGCCCGGGAAACUGGGUCUAAUACCGGAUAUGACUCCAUGACGCAUGUUGUGGGGUGGAAAGCCUUGUGCGGCUGAGGAUGGGCCCGCGGCCUAUCAGCUUGUUGGGUGGGGUGANGGCCCUACCAAGGCGACGACGGGUAGCCGGCCUGAGAGGGCGACCGGCCACACUGGGACUGAGAUACGGCCCAGACUCCUACGGGAGGCAGCAGUGGGGAAUCUUGCGCAAUGGGCGAAAGCCUGACGCAGCGACGCCGCGUG